UACGUAGGGGGCUAGCGUUGUCCGGAUUUAUUGGGCGUAAAGCGCGUGUAGGCGGCCAGAUAGGUCUGCUGUGAAAACUCGAGGCUCAACCUCGAGCUGUCGGCGGAAACCAUCCGGCUAGAGUCCGGAAGAGGAGAGUGGAAUUCCCGGUGUAGCGGUGAAAUGCGUAGAUAUCAGGAGGAACACCUGCGGUGUAGACGGCUUACUGGACCAUAACUGACGCUGAGGCACGAAAGCGUGGGUAGCAAACAGG
rnacentral:rRNA from 1 species